CGUCUAUAUACGUAUAGCAUAUCAAUAAGCGGAGGAAAAGAAACUAACAAGGAUUCCCUUUGUAACGGCGAGUGAAGCGGGAAGAGCUCAAAUUUGAAAUCUUCAAGGUUUUUACCUUGACGAAUUGUAGUUUAAAGAAGUGUUUUCUGUUGGAGUUUUGGUAAAAGUUCUUUGGAAUAGGACAUCAUAGAGGGUGAGAAUCCCGUAUUUGACCAUUUCUUCCAGCUGUGUGAUACACUUUCAAAGAGUCGGAUUGUUUGGGAAUGCAGUCCAAAAUGGGUGGUAAAUUUCAUCUAAAGCUAAAUAUUGGCGAGAGACCGAUAGCGAACAAGUACCGUGAGGGAAAGAUGAAAAGAACUUUGAAAAGAGAGUUAAACAGUACGUGAAAUUGUCAAAAGGGAAGCGUUUGACACCAGUGUUGUUUUCUCGAAAAUCAAUUAAAAAUGACCGGAUUUUGUGUUGUACUUGACUUUAUCAGCUUUCUGCACUUUUUUCUUGUCUUUUUUAAUGCACUUUUCGUUUAACAAGUCAACAUCAAUUUCUUUUGUUGUAAAAGAGUCAUUGGAAGGUGGCUUUCACUUCGGUGAAAGUGUUUAUAGCCUUUGACUUCUGCAAUCGGAGAGAUUGAGGUCUGCAGCGUAGAUCCUUCGGGGUUAGAUACAUUUGUGCUAAGUUAUAGUUUUUCAUAGACAACAUGUUGACUAUGAUUAAUCAUGUAGCUUACUCGCUUAUGCUAUUUUACCUACGCUUAGGAUGUUGAUAUGCAUGACUGAUAU
rnacentral:rRNA from 1 species